rfam:Aureobasidium pullulans var. pullulans EXF-150 unplaced genomic scaffold scaffold_8, whole genome shotgun sequence.
AUCCCUGUGACGCAGCGGCUAGCGUGUCGUUCUUAUAAUUGCUCCAGUGGAGCAGAUUAUGCAAUGCGAAAGUCGCGAGUUCGAAUCUCGCUAGGGAUA